rnacentral:rRNA from 1 species
UACGAAGGGGGCUAGCGUUGCUCGGAAUCACUGGGCGUAAAGGGUGCGUAGGCGGGUCUUUAAGUCGGUGGUGAAAUCCUGGAGCUCAACUCCAGAACUGCCUUCGAUACUGAGAGUCUCAGAGUCCGGGAGAGGUGAGUGGAACUCCGAGUGUAGAGGUGAAAUUCGUAGAUAUUCGGAAGAACACCAGUGGCGAAGGCGGCCAACUGGUCCGAAACUGACGCUGAGGCGCGAAAGCGUGGGGAGCAAACAGG